rnacentral:lncRNA from 1 species
ACAUGCAGCUCGGUACUGAAGGAGUGCAUGUGUAUUCUAUCAUAGUCUUGAUCGUAGCGGAAAGAUGACUACAGUGUAGAAUACACCAGCUAGCGUUUCCACAAGCCUGCGACCCAGACGUGGCCAAUGUUGUGGCACUAACACGAUAAGCUGAACUUGGAAAUCACACAGUUCCGGACACAUCAUCUUUAACUCACGUUCCUAAUGCAUCUCAUUCACAACAAGGAAAUCACACAGUAUUGGUCUGUUCACUGCGCACUUGAUCAUGAGUUACCCUGCUUUUUCAUGUUCUCCUCUUAGCAGGAGAAGCAAACUGGCACUACAUAAGCAUAUCAUGCUACUUGGAGGAGCCAUCUAUUUAUGGGCGACGUGCAUGCCUGUGAUAUGGCAUGUCAAAGGACAAGAUGAAUAAAUAUAACCCUCUUUUUCGAAGAUGGUCUAGUUUAACAUACGGUAUUGUCAGUCAUCAAUUUAUUAAACUCAUUCAUAACCAUGUGCUCAACCAACUUUCUGCGAAUUUAACAUACCGUAUUGUUAGUUAAUUAGUAUACUGUGCUAUUACUUAAUUACCUGAAGUUACUGUAACCAUUUUCGUCUGCGAUAACUUGCUCUCUCAAAUUUCUUCUGGUCUUACAUCUAAAGGAACCAGUUUCCUUGGGAUACCACUAUUCUUACCUUCACGUGAGCACAUUCUACAUGUGUUGUCUUAAGGGGAGCACAUCCAACAUGAUUAAUGCAUAAUACACAUAUAUUUAAAUAUCAAAGGGAAACCCAAACAUAUCUAAGGCAACAACUAUGCGGGCAUAGGGCUCAAUGGCUCAUAUUGUUAAUGCACCAUAUUUGGUUACAGAUUCUCUUUAGACUAAUCCAACAUUAAUGUUUUAAUGAUGAAAGGCCAAGAUAUUUCCCAUGUAACUAAAGUUUGUUAAAUUCUUAUGCGCAUGCCAGUCUGCUAAUUAAAACUUAUUUUGGUAUCUCUACUCUUGAAGGAGCAGUUGGUACGUCGUUCGUUUGUACCCCAGUCAAUCGGUUGAAAUCUCCUCCCACCGAUUCCCUUUCCACCCCGAUUUUCUUUCCAACGUUUUAUCCUUGAAAAACCGGCAUCCUCUCCCCCCUCUCACUACUUGCCUCCUCUUCUGUUCGCCUCUAUCCAGAACCUCCCGAAUCCCCGGCGCCCCAACACAUCCUCUACAAAUCACCGUCCCCCCUGACGCCCCCAUCUUCGUCAUCCUCGUCGCCUGCAUGGUUGCCCUGCACGCCGCCCUCACUGACCUCCUCGAUCCACAGCCACCCUCCUCUCUAUUUCCUCACAAACCCUAGAGUUCACACGACCCGCGGGAGCGCAGGGGUGUACGACACGUAUGGGGAGGAAGGCUCAAUGGACAAGUGUCAUCGUCGGGCGCGGGCGGCUCCAGUGAGCCGAGGGCACAUCCUUCAUCUCCAUGAGCCCUCUGCUUUCUGGUUUAACCCAUGGAAAACCUAUGACAUUUUCAUCGAGUUCUUCGGCUCCUCCAUCCGCUUCGGUGGGAUGAGCAGCAACAUAGGAGGCAUGGGGGUAAGGGCACGCAGUCCAACGGCAUCAUGUUCUUGCCGUCCAUAUUUCUCAGCAAGGAUGCCUUCACCAAGAUGUUUUGCGAUGGCGGUGAGUGGUACCAGAGAUGUAUAAGCCGAGAGCUAUGGAAUGCCACUCGGCUUACAGCUUAAGGGGUGACGACGCCGUCAGCUGCCUCUGUUUUAGACACGUGGCAAGUAUUUUUAUCGGGUGGAGCGCUAGAAGCCGAUUGUUUUUUGCGUAAAUACCGUGUGUCGCCUAUAAGCUGAGAGCAUUUCCGGGUCACUCGGCUUAUAUAGGAUAGCAUAAGCCGAGUGCUUUAUUGUUAUCGGGUGUUUUUUAUGAAGUUCACGGCUUAGAUGCAGAGAAGCCGAGCGCUCGAAAAAAACACUCGGCUUAUGGCUUGCCACAGAGUAAAACAUAAUUUUCUUGUAGUGAAUUACUAGUACCACAAGAGUCACUCUCUUCACGUCCUAUAUCUUGCAUAGUAAAUGAAUAACGUGGGGAGCUUGCUCUUAUACAACAAAUAUAGUACGAUUAAUCUCCUUUAUUCUUCAUAACCCAGAUCAAUUAAACCUCAAGCAUAUGAUAUGCAAUUGACACAAAGGUCACAUAUUUAGGGAGGAGCCAUGAUAAAACCGAGGACAUUCGCUCCAUGGAAGGUGACGACGUCGGAGUUGUGCCUCUAAGUCAACCUUCUGUUUCCGAUGAUCCCCUUCUUCACCAUCACUACGAACUUCCCGUCAUCGAUUCAACCAUCCUAAUCAAAUGUAUUAUAUUUCAAGGACAUGGUCAAUUUGGAUUUCAGAUUUGUAAUCAUUAAUGUAAUAGUACGGACUAAUCAAUGGAACUAACUAAAACCAAUUAAUUAUUUCAAGGUAGAGACUGCAUUGAAUAAACAUACGCAUGUUGUCCCUGUUAACCUCCCUGGUGAUGUGUUGAUACGACGGAUGCUAUUCUUGGGAUGUAUAAAUAGAGGAUUUCUCGGUCUGAUCGUCAGCCCCAACGCUCGGAAUUAGAUGGUUGUCUGCCUGUCUCCAACAGCUAGUGGGCUUCGCCACGUGAGAGUGCCCAGUUCAUCAGAGCGUACGCGUGCCCAUAUUCAUCAGCUCGCACUGCAAGACAUGAUGUGUGAAUCGAUCGCACGGUCUGACUCCUGUCAGCGCGGCGUUGGUGACAUGUGAUGAUACUGUUGGUAACUACAGAAAUACGGUGUGGGGUGUAUGCCCGUGAGCUCAAAUACGUGUCGUUAAUGAGACACUACGGCAGCUCGAUUCGAAUACUUACAGUUAAACGGAAAAAAGAUUGAUGGAAUAGUUGUUAUAUUGCUUGAUCUCGUGGGCAUAUAUAUAUAUAAAAGUACAUGAUUAUUUUGGAGUAUAAGGCAAAGUACGACAAAUCCUAAUCUAUCUCAUAUUUUCUAAUAAUAAAUAUACUUAACAUCCCCCGCAGUCACGACGGUAGCGACACAGAUGGUGAGACUGGAGAAUAAUCAGAAGGUAAGCCGACGGUCAUCCCCCACAGUUGUAACGGUCGAUGCAUCACGGAAGUUGUGGUUGGAGUGAAACCGACGAGCUUGCUCAAGCAAGGCCGUAGCCCUUUGUGCCGAUGUCGAGGUAGCCGAGAGCGUAGGAUGGUGUAGUCGUGGUCGAGGUAGUCGUGCGAAGAAUGUCGUGGUCGAUGUCGAGUCGGGGUAGCCGGUGUCGAGGAUGUCCCCGUGAAGCCGCGGAAGCAAGGAGGCGCCGAGUUAGUCAUGGACGCGGUGGUGUCGAAGUAGUGGUGCCGGGAACAAGACAGAGUUGAGACGCAUCGCGCCGAGUUUACCAAGCCCCGGGACACAUCAUGAACGAAGGCACGCAUCGGUGUUGCCAGCAUCGCGCAUGCGUAGACGGACGAAGUCAAUGUUGAUGGGGCAGCGGAUGAAGUCAUGGGAGCACACCCGGAACAGCUCGACCGAAGGGAAGGGGACCGAGAAGAUGAGGGGGCCAUCUCAGUCACCUCCAAUGUGAACUCGGAAUCACGGAAGUCACCAAUGUACGCGGCGAGCUCGGCCUGAAUGAGGUCAGCCGAGAUUACCAACCCUGGCGGCAGGACCUGCUCGGGGGCCAGGGUGACCGAAGCCAGGUGUGGCCGCGACAACUCCUCCUCCAUCUCCGCAUCCACAAAGUAGAAGCUCCCCCACUCAGUCCUGUACUCAAGGUAGGCAAGGGUCGUGGGGCACGUCCAUUAGUGUGAGGACAAAAUAUUUUAUUAUCACCAGCAAAAGUAAUAAUUUCAAAUUGCUUAACAAUUUUGUGUGAAGAAAAAUAAAGAUGUUGUCCGCGCAAUCGUUUGGGCAGCUGUGCUCGUUACAUAUUUCAAAAAACAAAUCAACUGAGCGAGGGAGGGAGGCUGAGAGAGUCAGGACUAGUGUUUUCUUUGUGAUUCUGUAAUUCAGUGUCAAUUACCAUAGCUGACACAGCUUCUAACGUCGUUUCGGAGUGCCACUCGUACUCACCAAGCAUGAGUAACAUGCAGCUCGGUACUGAAGGAAUGCAUGUUCAUUCUAUCAUAGUCUUGAUCGUAGCGGAAAGAUGACUAUAGUGUAGAAUACCCCAGCUAGCGUUUGCACAAGCCUGCGACGCAGACGCGGCCAAUGUUGUGGCACUAGCACGAACACAUGAACUUGGAGCGAGCCUGGGCUCGACACAGUUUCGGACACAUCAUCUUUAACUCACGUUCCUAAUACAUCCCAUUCACAAAGAGGAAAUCACACGGUAUUGAUUUGUUCACUGCGCACUUGAUCAUGAGUUACCCUGCUUUUUCAUGUUCUCCUCUUAGCAGGAGAGAAGCAAUCUGGCACUACAUAAGCAUAUCAUGCUACGUACUUGGAGGAGCCAUCUAUUUAUGGGCGACGUGCAUGCCGUGAUAUGGCAUGUCAAAGGACAAGAUCAAUAAAUAUAACCUUCUUCUUCGAAG